rnacentral:rRNA from 1 species
UUGAUUACGUCCCUGCCCUUUGUACACACCGCCCGUCGCUGCCCGGGACUGAGCCGAUUCGAGAAAUCCGGGGAUCGCCGGUCUGAUGCCUUCGCGCGUCUCUCUGGUGAGAACCGGCUUAAUCGCAUCAGUUUGAACCGGGCAAAAGUCGUAACAAGGUUGCUGUAGGUGAACCUGCUGCAGGAUCAUUA